GCAAUACACUGGUGGCGACCGGCGCACGGGUGCGUAACGCGUAUGCAACCUACCCAUAACAGGGGGAUAACACUGAGAAAUUGGUACUAAUACCCCAUAACAUCAGGACCGGCAUCGGUUCUGGUUGAAAACUCCGGUGGUUAUGGAUGGGCAUGCGUUGUAUUAGCUGGUUGGUGAGGUAACGGCUCACCAAGGCAACGAUACAUAGGGGGACUGAGAGGUUAACCCCCCACAUUGGUACUGAGACACGGACCAAACUCCUACGGGAGGCAGCAGUGAGGAAUAUUGGUCAAUGGACGCAAGUCUGAACCAGCCAUGCCGCGUGCAGGAAGACGGCUCUAUGAGUUGUAAACUGCUUUUGUACGAGGGUAAACGCUCUUACGUGUAAGAGCCUGAAAGUAUCGUACGAAUAAGGAUCGGCUAACUCCGUGCCAGCAGCCGCGGUAAUACGGAGGAUCCAAGCGUUAUCCGGAUUUAUUGGGUUUAAAGGGUGCGUAGGCGGUUUGAUAAGUUAGAGGUGAAAUACCGGUGCUUAACACCGGAACUGCCUCUAAUACUGUUGAACUAGAGAGUAGUUGCGGUAGGCGGAAUGUAUGGUGUAGCGGUGAAAAUGCUUAGAGAUCAUACAGAACACCGAUUGCGAAGGCAGCUUACCAAACUAUAUCUGACGUUGAGGCACGAAAGCGUGGGGAGCAAACAGGAUUAGAUACCCUGGUAGUCCACGCAGUAAACGAUGAUAACUCGCUGUCGGCGAUACACAGUCGGCGGCUAAGCGAAAGCGAUAAGUUAUCCCACNUGGGGAGUACGUUCGCAAGAAUGAAACUCAAAGGAAUUGACGGGGGCCCGCACAAGCGGAGGAACAUGUGGUUUAAUUCGAUGAUACGCGAGGAACCUUACCCCGGGCUUGAAAGUUACUGACGAUUCUGGAAACAGGAUUUCCCUUCGGGGCAGGAAACUAGGUGCUGCAUGGUUGUCGUCAGCUCGUGCCGUGAGGUGUCGGGUUAAGUCCCAUAACGAGCGCAACCCCUACCGUUAGUUGCCAUCAGGUCAAGCUGGGCACUCUGGCGGGACUGCCGNUGUAAGCCGAGAGGAAGGUGGGGAUGACGUCAAAUCAGCACGGCCCUUACGUCCGGGGCUACACACGUGUUACAAUGGUAGGUACAGAGGGCAGCUACCCAGUGAUGGGAUGCGAAUCUCGAAAGCCUAUCUCAGUUCGGAUCGGAGGCUGAAACCCGCCUCC
rnacentral:rRNA from 1 species